GAUGAACGCUAGCGGCAGGCUUAAUACAUGCAAGUCGUACGGGAUCCGAGGUAGCAAUACUUUGGUGAGAGUGGCGCACGGGUGCGUAACACGUAUGCAACCUACCUUUAACCGGGACACAACCUCGAGAAAUUGUGGCUAAUAUCCCAUAACACUGCGAAGUGGCAUCACUUUGCAGUUAAAACUCCGGUGGUUAUUGAUGGGCAUGCGCGACAUUAGCUAGUUGGUGAGGUAACGGCCCACCAAGGCUACGAUGUCUAGGGGUUCUGAGAGGAUUAUCCCCCACACUGGUACUGAGACACGGACCAGACUCCUACGGGAGGCAGCAGUAAGGAAUAUUGGUCAAUGGGCGCAAGCCUGAACCAGCCAUGCCGCGUGAAGGAUGACGGCCCUAUGGGUUGUAAACUUCUUUUGUACGGGAAAAAACCUCUGGUCGUGUAUCAGAGCUGAUGGUACCGUAAGAAUAAGCAUCGGCUAACUCCGUG
rnacentral:rRNA from 1 species